AAACCAACUAUGAACUCGCCGCUGCCGUCGAAGUUCGCCGCCACUAUCAAGCCCUGAAGUUCCCCGUCACCGUCGAGCCCUGAAGUUCGCUGUCGCCGUUGAGCCUACAGUUCAUCGCCGAGUCCCCCUCAAUUAGGGAUUGAUGAUGUCUGGUAGAGGACCAUCAAGGUCUAGGACUAGACGGGUGCCACCUAAUAAACUUUCACAACAGGCAAGGGAGCGUCUGAAGGAGCUAGAGGACGCUCGUCGAUCUACAUCUAUCCCUAGCAUUCCAGCAUCUACCCCUAGUAUUCCAGCAUCUACAUCCUUAGUCGAGGAUGAUUUAUAGACCCCCCUUACAGAUAUGACCGAGAAUUAUUUGCAGACCAUCCUUACGCACUCUAUACCUUCUAGACACUCGGCGGUUGGUGGGGAUGCAUCUGCAUCCACAUCAAUAGCUCGUCCUCUACACUUGAGAAACUAUCAUCCUAAUCGUGCUGCUAAACGACUGGAGAAGCGUGCUGAAAAAGCCGGAGGUUUGCCACGAACGUCCCAGAAGGUUCGAUCUACAAAUAAAGCCAAUCGAUUAAGUCCCGAUACUAAGAAGAAUAAACAGGCAUUCCUCUUGCACUUUGAUGAGUAUUUCCGUAUCACAGGCCCCAAUGCUGAGAGAUUCAGACAGUAUGUGAGACAAGUGAGCUGCCAAUACAUGGACUUCCCACUUUAUAAGAACUAGGGCACAGAUCAUGAGCGUUCGUCAGAUAAGUUCUUUCUCCAAGCCCAGGUUUAAAUACAUUUUUAAUCUAUUUUGGUCCUCGCAAAACUAGCAAGAUCUUAUUCAAUUCUCAUGUAUACGUCACUGACCACAAACUAGACACUUUAGAUAUUUGUACAUGAAUUCAUGUAAACUGUUUAAUGUUUUUUUUGUUAAAUAUGCAGAAAGAUUAUGAAUUUCUUCAUGUAGAUCCUUAUUGUCCUCUUAAUCUUCCUGCUAUACAUCGAGGCGUGAAUAUAAAGAUGCAGGAGAGAGUCCGAGGCAAUUGAAAUUAGGUGAAGAAGGAGUGUUAUGAACUAUGGCUGGAGACUCCCCAAGAGAAAAGAGAUGAUCUUUUCAAGACAGUGGUGUUCGAAGGGAUCAAUAAAAAAUUAUGGGACGGCCUCUGCGGAGGCAAAAAUAAAUAAAGAUAAUUGGGAGUCAAAGAAGCGAGGUUGAGCAACCUAUACGGGUGGCUCGAGGAGCAUGGUUCGGGCAAAACAGACGGUGAGAGCUCGGAUCGAAGAAUCAGGUGGUAGCUCAAGUGCAUUAAAGGAGUAUUUGGGUACCCAAGCGACGUUAGUCGAUCCAGCAGUUGAUACAUAUUCAUCCACAUAUCCUGACACCCAAACUCAGGAGUAUUGUGCUCGGGUGAUAGAAAGGGCUAAAUCAUUAGGGGUUGACCGAGAACUCAAAUCUACUGCAAUGACCACGGUCCUAGAUGAUGUACAUGGAGGACAUCAUGGUGGUUAUGAAAGAGGUUUGGGUCACAGUGUCACUAGAUUUUAUUUGAAGACUUCCUCCACUUUGACCUUCGCUACUCCUCUUGAUGUGCUUCGUGAGAUGGCGGAGCUUAAAGCCAAGAUGGAAUGACUAAUCCAGCUUGUUGAUCAUCAUACCGCUCAUCCACCUUCCGUUGUUCCGGCUACUCAAUCGGCUUCUGCUCAGCCUUCUCCGAAUGCUCAGGGUUUGACUUUUACUCAGCCUUCUCCGGAUGCUCAUACCUUCUCCGAAUGCUCAGGGUUUGACUUUUGCUCAGCCUUCUCCGGAUGCUCAUGGUUUUACUUUUGUUGCUCAACAUUCUCCUCAUGAUAUUUCAGCACAAAAUCUUCUUGCAAGUUGACUGGGGGCUUGUUAAGGGGCUUAGCGCAAGAGGGCUAUGGCGAGGAGGACAUCCGUAAGGCUUUUGUCAAUUUUCUUUAUUUCAGUCAGUAGUGACUUGUAUUUUUUAGAUAUUUGAGACAUUGUAUUUUGGAUACUCUUUAUAUUUGUGAUUUAGUUGUUAAAUUUACUA